AUUGAACGCUGGCGGCAGGCUUAACACAUGCAAGUCGAGCGAGCGGCGGACGGGUUCGUACUGACCGGGCACCCGCCUGAUGGAUGGGGAUCACAAAUGGAAGCUGAAGCUAAUAACGCCUACACUCACAUGUGCCCAUCUGGGAUUAGCUAGUAGGUGGGGUAAAGCCUCACCUAGGCGACGAUCCGUUUCGGGUUUGAGAGGAUGACCAGCCAAACUGGAACUGAGACACGGUCCAGAUUCCUACGGGAGGCAGCAGUGGGGAAUUUUGGACAAUGGGGGCAACCCUGAUGCAGCCAUGCCGCGUGUGCGAAGAAGGCCUUCGGGUUGUAAAGCACUUUCAGCGAGAAGGCGUUACUCGCAGAAGAAGCACCGGCUAACUCCGUGCCAGCAGCCGCGGUAAUAC
rnacentral:rRNA from 1 species